rnacentral:rRNA from 1 species
UACGUAGGGUGCAAGCGUUAAUCGGAAUUACUGGGCGUAAAGCGUGCGCAGGCGGUUUUGUAAGUCUGACGUGAAAUCCCCGGGCUCAACCUGGGAAUGGCGAUGGAGACUGCAAGGCUAGAAUCUGGCAGAGGGGGGUAGAAUUCCACGUGUAGCAGUGAAAUGCGUAGAUAUGUGGAGGAACACCGAUGGCGAAGGCAGCCCCCUGGGCUAAGAUUGACGCUCAUGCACGAAAGCGUGGGGAGCAAACAGG